rnacentral:rRNA from 1 species
UCUGUAGGUCGCUUAUGAAGUCUAUUGUUAAAUUCCAGGGCUUAACCUUGGCAGGCAAUAGAGUACUCAUCUGCUAGAGUGUGGGAGAGGUAGGGGAACUCCUCGUGGAGCGGUGAAAUGCGUAGAGAUGAGGAAGAACACCAGAGGCGAAAGCGCUCUACUGGACCAAGACUGACACUGAGAGACGAAAGCUAAGGGAGUAGAAAA